GGGAGAUGAGAUAUGCCAUUGCAAUAGGAGCCGCUAAAGGGUUAGAGUAUUUGCAUCAUGGAUGUGAUAGGCCGGUUAUACACCGUGAUGUGAAGUCGAGCAAUAUUUUGUUAGAUGAAGAGUGGAAGCCAAGGAUCGCUGAUUUUGGACUUGCAAAGAUUGUGCAGAAUGGCAGUGGAGGGGAUUGGACUCAUGUUAUAGCUGGAACUCACGGUUACAUGGCUCCUGGUAAGUUCCUUAUUCAUGUUUUGUUCUGUUCAAUAUUAUUUGUUCAAACGGUUGAUUGAAGCGCCUUACUUAACAUCUACUGCUGCAUAAUUUUCUGGCAGAGUAUGCAUACACAUGCAAGAUCAAUGAGAAGAGCGAUGUUUACAGCUUUGGAGUUGUGUUGAUGGAGUUGGUCACAGGAAAAAGGCCG
rnacentral:lncRNA from 1 species